UACGGGGGGGGUAAGCGUUGUUCGGAAUUACUGGGCGUAAAGGGUGCGCAGGCGGUUAUAUAAGACAGAUGUGAAAUCCCCGGGCUCAACCUGGGAACUGCGUUUGUGACUGUAUGACUAGAGUACGGUAGAGAGGGGUGGAAUUCCUGGUGUAGCAGUGAAAUGCGUAGAUAUCAGGAGGAACAUCGAUGGCGAAGGCAGCCCCUUGGACCUGUACUGACGCUCAUGCACGAAAGCGUGGGGAGCAAACAGG
rnacentral:rRNA from 1 species